rnacentral:rRNA from 1 species
AGAUUGAACGCUGGCGGAAUGCUUUACACAUGCAAGUCGAACGGCAGCACGGGGCAACCUGGUGGCGAGUGGCGAACGGGUGAGUAAUACAUCGGAACGUGCCCAAUCGUGGGGGAUAACGUAGCGAAAGUUACGCUAAUACCGCAUACGAUCUACGGAUGAAAGCGGGGGAUCGCAAGACCUCGCGCGAAUGGAGCGGCCGAUGUCAGAUUAGGUAGUUGGUGGGGUAAAGGCUCACCAAGCCAACGAUCUGUAGCUGGUCUGAGAGGACGACCAGCCACACUGGAACUGAGACACGGUCCAGACUCCUACGGGAGGCAGCAGUGGGGAAUUUUGGACAAUGGGCGCAAGCCUGAUCCAGCCAUUCCGCGUGCAGGAUGAAGGCCUUCGGGUUGUAAACUGCUUUAGUCUAGGAAAAAGGGGUGCGAGGUUAAUACCCUCGUGCUUUGAUGGUACUGGAAGAAUAAGCACCGGCUAACUACGUG